GCCGAGACUAUGGCCGGAGAAUAGCUGCACCGGGAUUGGAGAAACGAAGCCAUCAGUCUUAGGAAGGCUCCACCUUCCUGCCAUUGCCUGGUUGGAGGAGCGUAGCGUCAGUCACUAGAGCAGUCACCACCUCUGGGACAGGAUUCCCAACCAGGGAGAGCCACAGCGAGUGAGAGGGGAGAUUCUUCCUCUCGUGGAGGCCUUGGCCACCCUUCCAGGCUGAGAGUCUCCCAAGACCCUCCAGGACACAGCCCAACCCUGCCUCAGGUUACCAUGAGGGGGAAGAUGAUGGCUGCAGGGGUAGACUUGAUUAUCCAAAGCAGCCCCAGACAGGCAAGCUGGAUGGCUGUGAAGAGGUGGACCCUGGUCAGAGGCACAUGCCGCAAGAGUAGCAGGUCUGGCUGGUGUUUUGCUGGCAUCAACAACAGCUUCACCCUCUUAGUGAACUAGGGGAACAAGAGGAAGAGGAAAGCAGGGCACUCAGAUGAAGAAAUUGAGGCUUAGAAAUGUGCAUUAACUUGCCUAAUGCAUAGCUGGGAAGUGGAAGAACUGGAACUCAAACCCAGGGCUGGCUGAUCAGAACCCAUUCUCUUAACCCAUACCCUGUAAUAAUAGCUACUGUGUAUUCUCUGUACUCACGUGUCUGCUGCAGUACUUCAUUUAAUCCUCAUGACAACCCUGUGAGGCCAUUAUUAUUACUAUCUCUAGCUUAUUAGUGAAGAAAGAAGCUUAGAGAAGUGUGGGAUUUAUUCAUUUUCCUUCCCCAUGGUCUGCUGGCCCUGCUUUCCCCUCUGGUCCCCCAACCCUCUUCCCUG